rnacentral:rRNA from 1 species
AACGAACGCUGGCGGCAUGCCUAACACAUGCAAGUCGAACGAUCCCUUCGGGGAUAGUGGCGCACGGGUGCGUAACGCGUGGGAGCCUGCCCUUAGGUUCGGAAUAACUCAGAGAAAUUUGAGCUAAUACCGGAUAAUGUCUUCGGACCAAAGAUUUAUCGCCUUUGGAUGGGCCCGCGUUGGAUUAGCUAGUUGGUGGGGUAAAGGCCUACCAAGGCGACGAUCCAUAGCUGGUCUGAGAGGGUGAUCAGCCACACUGGGACUGAGACACGGCCCAGACUCCUACGGGAGGCAGCAGUGGGGAAUAUUGGACAAUGGGCGAAAGCCUGAUCCAGCAAUGCCGCGUGAGUGAUGAAGGCCUUAGGGUUGUAAAGCUCUUUUACCCGGGAUGAUAAUGACAGUACCGGGAGAAUAAGCCCCGGCUAACUCCGUG